rnacentral:rRNA from 1 species
GGGUGAGUAAUAUAUCGGAACGUGCCCAGUAGUGGGGGAUAGCCCGGCGAAAGCCGGAUUAAUACCGCAUACGACCUGUGGGUGAAAGCGGGGGAUCGCAAGACCUCGCGCUAUUGGAGCGGCUGAUAUCAGAUUAGCUUGUUGGUGGGGUAAAAGCCCACCAAGGCGACGAUCUGUAGCUGGUCUGAGAGGACGACCAGCCACACUGGGACUGAGACACGGCCCAGACUCCUACGGGAGGCAGCAGUGGGGAAUUUUGGACAAUGGGCGCAAGCCUGAUCCAGCCAUGCCGCGUGUGGGAAGAAGGCCUUCGGGUUGUAAACCACUUUUGUCAGGGAAGAAACGGUCUGAUCUAAUACAUUGGGCUAAUGACGGUACCUGAAGAAUAAGCACCGGCUAACUACGUGCCAGCAGCCGCGGUAAUACGUAGGGUGCAAGCGUUAAUCGGAAUUACUGGGCGUAAAGCGUGCGCAGGCGGCUUUACAAGACAGAUGUGAAAUCCCCGGGCUCAACCUGGGAACUGCAUUUGUGACUGCAUGGCUAGAGUACGGUAGAGGGGGAUGGAAUUCCGCGUGUAGCAGUGAAAUGCGUAGAUAUGCGGAGGAACACCGAUGGCGAAGGCAAUCCCCUGGACCUGUACUGACGCUCAUGCACGAAAGCGUGGGGAGCAGACAGGAUUAGAUACCCUGGUAGUCCACGCCCUAAACGAUGUCAACUGGUUGUUGGACGGCUUGCUGUUCAGUAACGAAGCUAACGCGUGAAGUUGACCGCC